UUUGCCUUGUAUCAGGACAAACAAAUGAUUUGACAAGAACUGGCUCAAAUUACAUAAAAUUUUAUUUGUUUUAUUAUUUUUCUCCAUUUAGUUAUCAUAUCAACAGCAAAGAGGACAGGAAAGUUAGAUAAAGUCAAGGGUCGCAGGGGGAAAUGCCAGCCCAGAUACAUCCCUGGGGCAGCUCCGUGAUCUAUCCAGCUUCAUCUUCACUUCUUACCUUCUUUUAAAUGUCAUUCUUGUUCAUUAAAUUGAUUAUAUGAUGAAGAAAAUUUAAAGUGUUUUAAUAAGCCCUAUUGUUAAUAUAAACAUUUAUUCUCUCUCCUAUGCAUUGGUUUCAUUUUUGACAAUACUGUUAAAGUUACUGAAUUAGAAUAGGUUUUUUUCAUAACUGUUUGGUAAUUGCUUGACACAUCAAUUCAUUCCAUUUUCAGACAACAACUGAGGUCAGAUACAGGCUUUCUCCUGACUAUAGAUGACUGUAAAUGCCAAGUGGAAAUUUGGGGUUCCUCUAGAAAGAGAGAUCCCGGACAAGCCCCCACAUAUGUUACGG